UUUGUGUAGAAGAACUAUCCACGUAAAUGGAUGUAAAGAAGCACCAUCUAACAUGGUAGAUGUACAGGUCACCAUUCUGCAGUCUUGUCUCUUGAACAUCACCUGUGGUGAAAUUGUCAUUCUUCCAGACAGGAUCAACUAAUUCUCUGACCAUACCCUGGAAAUCUCGGCAAUGCUAAUCGCUGUAGGUUAGUUGAGAUGUUCCACGGGAGUUACAGUUCAAAUCCCGGAUUGUUUAAGAGUUUGAAGUUGAAUUUGAUAACGUCUAGGUGCAGCCUGGAUCUCAUCACGCCUCGUAGCAUUGAACGAAAUGUUACGUUAGCAUCAUUCACCUAGGAUCGUGCUUCACAGUGAUUUUGCAAAGUCCCAAUCGAGGACGUUAUUUAUUUGGUGCCAACUCGAUGCUGAAUCCGAUUGUUAUCGUUUUCCCUUUACUUUGGUGAUCGAUCGAGAUUGUAGUGUUUCUCACUCGACCAAGCAACAGUCUGCCUUCUUUUUAUCAAGCGAAGGGAAUCUCAUAGGGUUCCUGGAAUAAUGUGGUAAAGUGCUCGCUGGCGAAAGUUGUGGCGUACUCGCACUGAUGGCCGCCGGUGACGGAGUGUAGGGUAUCCUCAUGGCGGGGCUUCGCAAGGUGAUUAUUUCGAAUAUUCUUCUCAGUACUGAAAGGGUAACUUUAUCAGUUGGACUUAUUGGUCCUGGUCUGAUUGGGGAAAAUUUUCGAGACUAAUUUCAUUGACCAGUAUAAACAAAUAAAAGAGCUUCAACGGAAGUCACACAUACGUUAUUUCUACGAAGGCACUGUUGGGGCUGGGCUGCCCAUAAUCAGCACAUCUCAGUCUUGUUGAAACUGUUGACAAGAUUGUGAAAGUGGGAGAUGAUAUCAGGUUAGAAUCAGGGGUGCAUUUCUCAAUCAUGCUUUCAAAUUAAAAUGAAUUCAUUACAACUUUUAAAGUGUAAUUUAAGUGAGGAUGCUGAGGGUGUAAACUAAACGCUAAGGAAGUUCAGAUGUCUUUUUAUUUGUUCUCGACAUGUUGUUUUAGGAAACUAGGGGUCUGAUUGCGGAUCCUGUUGAUGCUGGGGCACACUCAGUCACAUCAACAGUUUCAACAAAGCUUUGACAAAGCUUUUGGCUAGAUUGUGGGUAAGGUUAAGAAGCUGGAAACACUGAGAUUGACCCUACAGAUGACCUUUCUGGAAUGGAAGUUGCGCGAAAGGUCUGCUUUUCUUUCGUUAGCACUAGUGUAUUAACGUUGCAGAUUUUGCAUUCAAGAUGCCCACAUUAGUGCAUCACUGGGAAAGGCAUACAGUAAAUUUUUUUGGAAAGGCUGGAUAAUUUGCUAUUGAUGUUAAUUCUUCUCCUACAGAAUCCUUUUACGUUAAGCUUGCACUUGAUCAUGCUCAGGUGACUAUAUAACAAUAUAACAAUAUAUAUAUAUAUAUAUAUAUAUAUAUAUAUUGUUGGUUUCAGGUAUUGAGCUCCCCUGAUAUUUCUAGCUCCAGUAAGAUAGUUCUAGUGUAUACAUCAGCACGAGAUGACACAACGAAGUAUGUGUAUGUGUAUCUUGUUUGUUUAAACAAAUAUAUUUUUAAACACGCUUUUUGUUUUAA